rnacentral:rRNA from 1 species
AGUGAACGCUGGCGGUAGGCCUAACACAUGCAAGUCGAACGGCAGCACAGAGGAGCUUGCUCCUUGGGUGGCGAGUGGCGGACGGGUGAGGAAUACAUCGGAAUCUACUCUGUCGUGAGGGAUAACGUAGGGAAACUUACGCUAAUACCGCAUACGACCUACGGGUGAAAGCAGGGGACCUUCGGGCCUGGCGCGAUUGAAUGAGCCGAUGUCGGAUUAGCUAGUUGGCGGGGUAACGGCCCACCAAGGCGACGAUCCGUCGCUGGUCUGAGAGGAUGAUCAGCCACACUGGAACUGAGACACGGUCCAGACUCCUACGGGAGGCAGCAGUGGGGAAUAUUGGACAAUGGGCGCAAGCCUGAUCCAGCCAUACCGCGUGGGUGAAGAAGGCCUUCGGGUUGUAAAGCCCUUUUGUUGGGAAAGAAAUCCAGCUGGCUAUACCCGGUUGGGAUGACGGUACCCAAAGAAUAAGCACCGGCUAACUUCGUGCCAGCCGCCGCCGUAA